rnacentral:rRNA from 2 species
UGACCUCGGUUCAGACGUGAUUACCCGCUGAACU